GACAGAGGUGCCAAGCGUUAGGCGGAAUCACUGGGCUUAAAGGGCGCGUAGGCGGAUGGUCAAGUCGGGGGUGAAAUCUUUCAGCUUAACUGGAAAAGUGCCUUCGAUACUGAUCGUCUCGAGGGAGGUAGGGGCAUGUGGAACUUCCGGUGGAGCGGUGAAAUGCGUAGAUAUCGGAAGGAACGCCGGUGGCGAAAGCGACGUGCUGGACCUCUUCUGACGCUGAGGCGCGAAAGCUAGGGGAGCAAACGGG
rnacentral:rRNA from 1 species